AUUUGUUCUAAGGCCAAGGGCUUAAAAUGUAUUGUGUAUAUGAGAACAACCAGAAGUCUAAAAUGCUAAAAACAAUCAGUAUUAGGGCUAUGCUAUGAAGUCCAAAUGAACCAAUGGUUAGGUUGUAAACUACAGUAACUCAGUAAGGCAGAGGUCAUUACUGGGGCUGUUUUUCAUAGUGAAACAAGCCGGAGGGCUUGAAUGAGAAAUACAGGUCCUCCUCGUUAAUGAAUAAAUUAGGAAGGGCAUAAAUGCAAAUGCGAUGAAGGGAUAAGGUUUCCCCAAUUUCUCCCGUGCAGUACGGUUGGACAUUGUUGCAUCCGCCGGACCGCCGCCGACCGUGCGCUGUAGUCGCGGAUCUUCUGCGGGGAGCCGUGUAAGAGAGGAGAAGGGAGGAGGACCGAGCGUGUGGAGGCGCAUCCGUGUCGAGGCCGAAGGCCAUGGCUGAUUGGACGGCCACCACCAUUUGAACAAGCGCGCAGUUCCGCGUCCAAUGCAAUUUAGAGGAGUUCAUGUUGAUACACGCUUGUGUCUCUCUUGCCGUGAACAGCGUCAUGGCUGCUGAUGUUUCUUCGAUUUCGAUUCCUUUUUGCCUUGUGAUGAAAGCACUCGCGCCGCAGAACUGGAGCCGCGGGCGCCGCCAAUCCACGCUUUGGUCAAACAACGGACGAAGGCCACGCCACCGUCGCGCCGGUAGGGCGGUCGCUUGCCGGCAGUUGUCCGUUGUCAUCUGAUUCUGCUCCGGGAGGAGGAGGUAUGGGGUCGAGGCCCUCGGUUGUCUCCGUCGGACGCGCGCCUAUACAUUGCUCGAUUGGAGAGCAGCAAGUGCUGAUAACGUGUUUUGAGUGAAAAGUAAAAAACAAGAGAGUUGAAUGAAAGAUGAUCCAUUGGUCUUUA